rnacentral:rRNA from 1 species
AUGUCAAUCAGCCAAGGGUUAGUCGGGCCUAAGGGAAUGGCGAAAGCCGUACUCGAUGGACACAGGGUUAAUAUUCCCUGACUUUUAUAUUUUGUGACGGGAGGACGGAGGGUAGUAUGUAUCGCUCAUUAUUGGAUUUGAAGUUUGUGUCUUGAUUGUGAUGUAUAGGAAAAUCCGUACAUUGCCUUAAAUGGCGCAUGAAAGAGAAGCAAAAAGUUUUCCAUUUCGGUGGAGGAUAAUGAUACAAAGCACGCUUCCAAGAAAAAUCUCUAAACUUAAAAAUGUAGAAUCCGUACCGCAAACCAACACAGGUGAUCAGGUCGAUUAGACCAAGACGAACGAGUGAGUGGUCCCCAAGGAACUCGGCAAAAAAGCAGCCGUAACUUCGGGAUAAGGCUUUCCCCCUUCGCUCUUUGCUCCGCAAAGAGCUUCGGUAGAUAUGACUUCUUAAUUUUUUUAAGGGGCCGUGUCCCUCCGUAGCUCCGAACGAAGUGAGGAGCGGAGGGGGACGCAGCGAAAGUAUCUCUGGCAACUGUUUACCAAAAACACAGCUCCCUGCGAACUCGCAAGAGGAUGUAUAGGGGGUGACACCUGACCAAUGCCAGAAGGUCAAAUAUCGACGUUCCCAUUUCGCUCCUUGAAUACAAGGAGCUUCACGGGACAAGUGUAUGGAAAUAUAUGCUUGCCCCGCGUAGUUCUUUGCGUGCAAAGAGCGGAGUGGGGGUGACUGAUAUAAGCCCUGGUGAAUGUCGGCCGUAACUAUAACGGUCCUAAGGUAGCGAAAUACCUUGUCGGGUAAGUGGAACCGCCCAUCCUAAAAGUGAUUUUGGGAUUAAAUCCGGCUCAUAACGGUGGAAUCCUUUAUUGUUAGUGCGUAAAGUAAAGGACAAUACCGUGGGAAGUCAUUUUGUCGAAUCAAACAGGCAGGAUUGACCCCGUAACGACUUAGGUCGCCUAUGUAUAGUGGCGACCUGGAUAGAUUAUUGAUAUAAUCUAUAACAUGCCGGCUCUCAAGAAAAAACGCAAUAUACACGAGUAUAUUUCCGGAUAUGUAGAUGGAGAGGGAUGCUUCAGUAUUUCAUUUUCAAAACGAGAUAAAUUUCUCGUUGGCUGGGAGACGAAACCAAGUUUCUCUGUCAGUCAAAAUGAAGACAGGGCACAAAUCCUUUUCUUGAUGCAAAAAGUUUUCAAGUGCGGAUUUAUUAGACGGGAUUAUUCGGACAAAACUCUCAAAUACGAGGUGCGAAGUUUGAAUGAUCUAAUCUAUAAAAUAAUUCCUCAUUUUGAAAAAUUUCCUUUGCUUUCAGAUAAGCGCAAUGAUUUUAAGAAUUUCAAAAGCGUGUGUCUUUCAAUGGAGAGAAAUCUUCAUACAGAGAAAAAUGGCUUACAAAAAAUUUUAAAUUAUGCGUUUAAAAUGAACUCAAGCGGAAAGAGGAAAUAUACGAAAGCGGAAAUGCAAAAAGCGUUGAGAUGAAGAUAUAGUCUGAUCCUUCUCGUAAGAGAAGACAACAUUAAUGAAGUUCCGACGCGCACGAAUGGUGUAAUGACUGGAGAACUGUCUCGGGGACCAGCUCGGUGAAAAUACAAUACCGGUGAAGAUGCCGGUUAAGUGCAGUUAGACGAAAAGACCCUAGAAGCUUUACUAUAACUUGAUAUUGAGCAUGUUUUUUUACUGCGUAGCAUAGAUGGGAGAGGUCUGAGGUUUACGGUUUCGGCUGUAAUCUACUCGUCAGUGAAAUACCAUUCUGUACGGAGGCAUGUUCUAACCAAUGCGGCAAAAACGCAUUGAAACAGUAUCUGGUGGAUAGUUUUACUGGGGCUGUACCCUCCUAAAGAGUAAAGGAGGGGUUUAAAGGUUAGCUAGGCGCGAAUGGAAACCGUGCCGAUAGUGUAUAGGCACAAGCUAGCUUGACUGUAAGAGGUACAUCUCAAGCAGGUGGGAAACCAGAACUAAGUGAACCGCAAUCUUGCAUUAGACGCAGGUUUAGAUUAACGGAUAAAAGCUACUCUAGGGAUAACAGGCUAGUUCCGCCCAAGAGUUCAUAUCGACGGCGGAGUUCGGCACCUCGAUGUCGGCUCACCUUAGCGCGGCGGCGGAGAAGCUGCCAAGCGUUUGGCUGUUCGCCAAUUAAAAAGGUACGCGAGCUGGGUUCAGACCGUCGAAAAGCGAAGCUUUUCGACAAGUAAAAAGUUAUAAAGUCGAAAGUUAAAAGUUUGGCUAAUCGACAGUUUGAACCCUCAGAGGAAAUUAAGGAAUUACUGUUAUGAAAUGUUUUUCGUUUAUGAAAUUGAAAGAUAGAACCAAUCGAAUCACGGCGGUCGCAGAAAGUAAUUUUUGCGCAGCAAGUUGACUUUUCGGUGGAACCCAAUCACGCAAGUGAGGGCAAUACCGAGCCCUAUACCAUACGGUGCAGGGUGUAGAGACUAAACGUCAGCCAUCCCGAGUUUAUCGAGGGAUGAAGAUAUAGUCCGAUCCCUUCAGUAAUGAAGGUUCAGCGUUUGUAGAACGCGGAAGUAAAACCAAAUGCGUGAGACAGGUUGGUCUCCUAUCUACUGCACUCGUUGAUUCUUGAGAAGAUCUGCUUCUAGUACGAGAGGACCGAAGUGGACUGACCUCUGGUGUGCGAGCUGUCCUGCCAAGGGCAAUGCUCGGUAGCUAUGUCGGGAAUGGAUAACCUCUGAAAGCAUCUAAGAGGGAAGCCAGCUUCAAGAUUAGGAAUCGUUGAGAACCGUGAGAGAUGAUCACGUUGAUAGGCUUUAAGUGUAAGCGCAGUAAUGCGUUCAGCUAAGAAGUACUAAUGUUUCGAU